GUUAUCUGUCUGCUUAAUUGCGUUUCACUAAGGGCCCAUAAAUUCAAGGUAUGUUAGCUAUCUGUCGCUCUAUGGACCCCUUAACCGAGUUAAAUCGAGUUAAGCGCGCGUCUUUAUUUAAAGAGUUUAAGACAUUGCGCAUGCUGUUGGGCUCUGAAAGCAACGAACGUGACCGCAACGUCUUGUUGCCUUAAUAAAGUUGUGUUAAUAGCAAUAUUAACCGCUUACAAAGGCUAUUUAAAACUAGACGGACCGCUGUUUCUUUUCUUAAACCAGAGGAAGGUUGCGGCAAUAACAGGUCUGUGAUGCCCUUAGAUGUUCCGGGCUGCACACGUGCUACAAUGAUCAGUACAGUGAGCAUCUCAAUAUAAUACACCGUCUUUAGCGCUUAGACGCGAUUAAUGGUUUACUUUUUAUUAAGGAGAUCUGUUUAAUCGAUGUUUUCUAAUGUGCGCGGUAAAGCCUGCUUCGAGAGUAAGCGGGUAAUCCAUUGGAAGUAAUGAUUUCUCUAUAUCUAGUGCACAACUAUGCACGGCACUCAUUCCCGAGACGGCUAGUUUCGUCUUUUAGUGUGAAUGUGGUGUUAUUCAACGUGCGUGCAAUUGUCAAUUCAUGGUGGGGACAGACCAUUGUUAACUGUUGGUCUCGGUCUUAACUAGGAAUGCCUUGUACGGGUCUUUGGUUCAACAAACCACCCGGAAUACGUCCCUGCCCUUUGUACACACCGCCCGUCGCUCUUACCGAUGGACUUUUUUGUGAGUCUAAGGGACUGGGUUAAACCGCUCGUUUAUUCGGAUGGCAGUACCUAUGGAAACUUAUGCGAACAAAGUGGUCUAAAGGAAAGAGAAGUCGUAACAAGGCAACAGUAGGUGAACCUGCAGA
rnacentral:rRNA from 1 species